AGCGAACGCUGGCGGCGUGCCUAACACAUGCAAGUCGAACGGUUCUGUUGGGGGCUUGCUCUCGACAGAGUAGUGGCAAACGGGUGAGUAACACGUGGGUAAUCUUCCUUCGAGUGAGGAAUAACUUCGGGAAACCGGAGCUAAUACCGCAUAACAUCUUGGAACGGCAGUUCUAAGAUCAAAGGGGGCGCAAGCUCCCGCUUGAAGUUGAGCUCGCGUCCUAUCAGCUAGUUGGUGAGGUAAUGGCUCACCAAGGCUCCGACGGGUAGCCGGCCUGAGAGGGUGGCCGGCCACACUGGGACUGAGACACGGCCCAGACUCCUACGGGAGGCAGCAGUGGGGAAUAUUGCGCAAUGGACGAAAGUCUGACGCAGCGACGCCGCGUGGGUGAUGGAGGCCUUCGGGUCGUAAAGCCCUGUUGAGGGAGAGAAAGCUACUGUCGGUUAAUACCCGGCAGUGGUGAUAGUAUCCCUAGAGAAAGCACCGGCUAACUACGUG
rnacentral:rRNA from 1 species